ensembl:lncRNA
AUAUAUAUAUAUAAACAUACAUUUAUCAUUUAUUUAUUUAAACUUUUCUUUCCAUUUUUAAAUGUGUAGAUAUUGGAUGAAUUCUUUAGUGAGUUUGUUGCAAUGAAUUCUGGGAUUGUCUUCUCUGUAUGGACACAUUAUAAGGCUAGAUGAUGUUGUUACCUUUUGGAGUAGCAUUUGUGUGCCCUUAUGAUGUUUUAAAGUGCUGUCUAAGUAGGCAACUCACUACAUUUGGAGCUGCUGGUUCACUAACGGAGGUGAAAUGAGUUCCUGUGUGCUUAAAGGGUCUGAAGAUAAUGCACUUUCUCCUGAAACUCAUCCAGUAAAUGAGUGAACAUGUGGACCAGACUGACAGGACACCCUGAAGAGAGAAACACAUCAGUUUAGAGUCAUGCUGUCAAUCCAGCACCAACCUGGUGCUCCAGCAUCCGCUGACCUUCGUUCAUCUCCAAGGAUGUGCAAACUGAGGGAGCAGUUCUUCUCUCCACCUUUAAUCACAGGAGGAAGUCUGACGUGAUGAAGCGCGCUGAAGUUCACAGCAUAUGAGAGGCGCCCGAGGGCCCUGUCAGCCCUGCUUUGAUUUGGAUCCGGAUCCUGAUCUCAGGGCUGGAAAUAGAGAUUAACAGAUGGCAGUGUAUCAGGCUGAGCGGCUGGGCCGGGCCUCACCCACGCCAGACCCGCUGCACUGUGAAAACACUGGGGGUUUCGCACCGUGCCCACACGAGAGCUGCAGGAUUGAAGCAGAAACAUUCCUCAUGUCACGGAAGGAUUCCAGAACUCCACAGCAAA